GGGUUGUGAGGUUAAGCGACUAAGCGUACACGGUGGAUGCCCUGGCAGUCAGAGGCGAUGAAGGACGUGCUAAUCUGCGAUAAGCGUCGGUAAGGUGAUAUGAACCGUUAUAACCGGCGAUUUCCGAAUGGGGAAACCCAGUGUGUUUCGACACACUAUCAUUAACUGAAUCCAUAGGUUAAUGAGGCGAACCGGGGGAACUGAAACAUCUAAGUACCCCGAGGAAAAGAAAUCAACCGAGAUUCCCCCAGUAGCGGCGAGCGAACGGGGAGCAGCCCAGAGCCUGAAUCAGUGUGUGUGUUAGUGGAAGCGUCUGGAAAGGCGCGCGAUACAGGGUGACAGCCCCGUACACAAAAAUGCACAUGCUGUGAGCUCGAUGAGUAGGGCGGGACACGUGGUAUCCUGUCUGAAUAUGGGGGGACCAUCCUCCAAGGCUAAAUACUCCUGACUGACCGAUAGUGAACCAGUACCGUGAGGGAAAGGCGAAAAGAACCCCGGCGAGGGGAGUGAAAAAGAACCUGAAACCGUGUACGUACAAGCAGUGGGAGCACGCUUAGGCGUGUGACUGCGUACCUUUUGUAUAAUGGGUCAGCGACUUAUAUUCUGUAGCAAGGUUAACCGAAUAGGGGAGCCGAAGGGAAACCGAGUCUUAACUGGGCGUUAAGUUGCAGGGUAUAGACCCGAAACCCGGUGAUCUAGCCAUGGGCAGGUUGAAGGUUGGGUAACACUAACUGGAGGACCGAACCGACUAAUGUUGAAAAAUUAGCGGAUGACUUGUGGCUGGGGGUGAAAGGCCAAUCAAACCGGGAGAUAGCUGGUUCUCCCCGAAAGCUAUUUAGGUAGCGCCUCGUGAAUUCAUCUCCGGGGGUAGAGCACUGUUUCGGCAAGGGGGUCAUCCCGACUUACCAACCCGAUGCAAACUGCGAAUACCGGAGAAUGUUAUCACGGGAGACACACGGCGGGUGCUAACGUCCGUCGUGAAGAGGGAAACAACCCAGACCGCCAGCUAAGGUCCCAAAGUCAUGGUUAAGUGGGAAACGAUGUGGGAAGGCCCAGACAGCCAGGAUGUUGGCUUAGAAGCAGCCAUCAUUUAAAGAAAGCGUAAUAGCUCACUGGUCGAGUCGGCCUGCGCGGAAGAUGUAACGGGGCUAAACCAUGCACCGAAGCUGCGGCAGCGACGCUGAUGCGUUGUUGGGUAGGGGAGCGUUCUGUAAGCCUGCGAAGGUGUGCUGUGAGGCAUGCUGGAGGUAUCAGAAGUGCGAAUGCUGACAUAAGUAACGAUAAAGCGGGUGAAAAGCCCGCUCGCCGGAAGACCAAGGGUUCCUGUCCAACGUUAAUCGGGGCAGGGUGAGUCGACCCCUAAGGCGAGGCCGAAAGGCGUAGUCGAUGGGAAACAGGUUAAUAUUCCUGUACUUGGUGUUACUGCGAAGGGGGGACGGAGAAGGCUAUGUUGGCCGGGCGACGGUUGUCCCGGUUUAAGCGUGUAGGCUGGUUUUCCAGGCAAAUCCGGAAAAUCAAGGCUGAGGCGUGAUGACGAGGCACUACGGUGCUGAAGCAACAAAUGCCCUGCUUCCAGGAAAAGCCUCUAAGCAUCAGGUAACAUCAAAUCGUACCCCAAACCGACACAGGUGGUCAGGUAGAGAAUACCAAGGCGCUUGAGAGAACUCGGGUGAAGGAACUAGGCAAAAUGGUGCCGUAACUUCGGGAGAAGGCACGCUGAUAUGUAGGUGAAGUCCCUCGCGGAUGGAGCUGAAAUCAGUCGAAGAUACCAGCUGGCUGCAACUGUUUAUUAAAAACACAGCACUGUGCAAACACGAAAGUGGACGUAUACGGUGUGACGCCUGCCCGGUGCCGGAAGGUUAAUUGAUGGGGUUAGCGCAAGCGAAGCUCUUGAUCGAAGCCCCGGUAAACGGCGGCCGUAACUAUAACGGUCCUAAGGUAGCGAAAUUCCUUGUCGGGUAAGUUCCGACCUGCACGAAUGGCGUAAUGAUGGCCAGGCUGUCUCCACCCGAGACUCAGUGAAAUUGAACUCGCUGUGAAGAUGCAGUGUACCCGCGGCAAGACGGAAAGACCCCGUGAACCUUUACUAUAGCUUGACACUGAACAUUGAGCCUUGAUGUGUAGGAUAGGUGGGAGGCUUAGAAGUGUGGACGCCAGUCUGCAUGGAGCCGACCUUGAAAUACCACCCUUUAAUGUUUGAUGUUCUAACGUGGACCCGUAAUCCGGGUUGCGGACAGUGUCUGGUGGGUAGUUUGACUGGGGCGGUCUCCUCCUAAAGAGUAACGGAGGAGCACGAAGGUUGGCUAAUCCUGGUCGGACAUCAGGAGGUUAGUGCAAUGGCAUAAGCCAGCUUGACUGCGAGCGUGACGGCGCGAGCAGGUGCGAAAGCAGGUCAUAGUGAUCCGGUGGUUCUGAAUGGAAGGGCCAUCGCUCAACGGAUAAAAGGUACUCCGGGGAUAACAGGCUGAUACCGCCCAAGAGUUCAUAUCGACGGCGGUGUUUGGCACCUCGAUGUCGGCUCAUCACAUCCUGGGGCUGAAGUAGGUCCCAAGGGUAUGGCUGUUCGCCAUUUAAAGUGGUACGCGAGCUGGGUUUAGAACGUCGUGAGACAGUUCGGUCCCUAUCUGCCGUGGGCGCUGGAGAACUGAGGGGGGCUGCUCCUAGUACGAGAGGACCGGAGUGGACGCAUCACUGGUGUUCGGGUUGUCAUGCCAAUGGCACUGCCCGGUAGCUAAAUGCGGAAGAGAUAAGUGCUGAAAGCAUCUAAGCACGAAACUUGCCCCGAGAUGAGUUCUCCCUGAC
rnacentral:rRNA from 1 species